UUUUAAACAUCUCUUGCAUUAAGAUUGGCCAUGGGUGAGAGUGUGCCACUGACUCAGUGAUCAGCAAUAACUCUGGCAUGCUGAAGCAGGGCCAGGAAAGACCUCUUGGAGUUAUGGCCCUUGGUACAGAGACAUAAUGCAGUUUAUAGCAACCAGCACUGACGUGGCUACACCACAGUACUUUGUUUUCCCAGCAGAGACUUGUUAUUUACAUUCACUCCUUACACCUUUGGACUGUAUUGUCAACUGAACUGUUCCCUGUUGUUGCAUCUGCACUUCUGAAACUGGCAGAAACUGAAGGGGGUUCUUUGAAGUUCCACCUUGUAAAAUAUGUAAACAGCAAGCUCUUCUCUGGGAAAAGUUCAGCCAUCCAGUCACAAUGAUAGAAAUAUUUCAAGAUUAUUACAGAACUUGAUAUGUUGUGUAUCUGUUCCAAGAACUGACCUGGUGAACUGAAGCUGAGAAAGAAACUGUUCAACGCACAGUGACACCUGCAGCUGUGGAAGGAAGUGGCCUCGUUCUUUACAUGCAAAUAAAUGUUCUUUCUUUCGAUUUUGUCUUAAAUUAUAUUGGUAAUCUAACGCUCUGCUCACAAAUCUUACAUUAGGAUUUUUUUUCUAAUGAUUCAAAAGGCAUUUGUUUACCUCCAUUGCAUUGAUGGCAUCUUUGGUGCCUUUGGUUGCUUCCGCCUUAAAAUACUAGGCCAAUUAGAGCAUGGUGCUUAUUUUCUUCAGUGGGCAACUAUGAAAUCCUCACCUAGCAUUUCUUGUGAGGUCACCCAUUUCAGGAAAUAUGUAGCUCUCUUUUAGUGAAGGAAUAACAAAAAAUUUGCUUUAGUUGAAUUUGCAGCAUUAUUGUAAAUAGUUUUGUAGAUCAUCUGUACAUUUUGUCAGUGGCGUAUUCAUGUGCUGGAGGAAUAUUUCUGUGCUGGAGUAAGACAGCCUCUCCAUAACAUUUCUGCUCUUCAACUGAUGGCUAGUCUCUGGAGAACCCCCUCUGAGAGUUGGAAGUUAGGGAAGCAAGAUUACUGCUCUGACAUAGGUAUUUUUUUUAAUGAGUAAUUACUUCUUUUCUUAAAGAACUUGUAAACUUCUUCAGAACAGCUAGAACUUUUUUCCCAAUAAGACCUUCAUAUAUAGGUUCUCUGAUCUGUUGUUGUAGAAUGUGUAUUAAGACCUAUGGAUUUGUGUUAUAUAGGAAGUCUUAUCGUUAAUACUUUAAAUAGUGAUGUGAAAGCCUGAGUGCUACUGUCAUAUUUUUCAUUUGCUUUGGGUUAUGUGUAUUCACUUCUAAAAGUAGUGUUUGCUUGGUGAGACUGGAGUUAUCGGUCAACACCAUGUUAUCAAAAAAGUCUGCUUUCUUUUCCUGGGUAAAUUUGUUAAAUUGGAGACGUCAUCAAGUUCAAACCUCUCUAGUAAUUAAACGAGAAUACUUUGUGGAUUGGCUACACUUGAGCAAAAACUCCACUUUGGGAGUGCAUAAAAGUGUGGAUGAGGAUAAAAGAGGCGGCUCGGGGAGAAUGAGAAACGUGGUCGAUUGACCCAGAGAGCACUGGAGCAGCGAACCGAUCAAAACCCAGUUUUAUAUGGGUGUAAAGAAUGGGCUGUGGAAAAUGGUCCUCAAGUGAUGCUAAAUGGCUUUAAGGCCUUGCAUGUUAAAAAGAGGGGGGGGACAAAAUCUUUUGUGAAUGGGUGUGGGAGGGUACUGAGAUUAACAUAAUGUAAGGCAAAGUUUGUAUAUAGUUAAAAGUUUAUAAUUUUUUUUAUAUGAUGCAUUUUUUCAAGUGUAUUUUGGUCUUUAAUAGAUGCAAUUGUAAGUACUGUGUACACUAUCCAGCUAAUAAAAAUUUAUAAAC